rnacentral:rRNA from 1 species
AGAGUUUGAUUUUGGCUUAGAUUGAACGCUGGCGGCAUGCCUAACACAUGCAAGUCGAACGCGAAAGCGCCUUCGGGUGCAAGUAGAGUGGCGGACGGGUGAGUAACGCGUGGGAAUCUGCCCUGCAGUGGGGGACAACCCGAGGAAACUCGGGCUAAUACCGCAUACGUCCUACGGGAGAAAGGGGGCUUCGGCUCUCGCUGCAGGAUGAGCCCGCGUCCGAUUAGUUUGUUGGUGGGGUAACGGCCUACCAAGGUGAUGAUUGGUAGCUGGUCUGAGAGGAUGAUCAGCUAUAUUGGGAUUGAGACACGGCCCAGACUCCUACGGGAGGCAGCAGUGGGGAAUAUUGGACAAUGGGCGAAAGCCUGAUCCAGCAAUGCCGCGUGUGUGAAGAAGGCCUGUGGGUUGUAAAGCACUUUCAGUGGGGAAGAAUGAUUCGGUGUUAAUAGCGCCGGGUUUUGACGUUACCCACAGAAGAAGCACCGGUUAACUCCGUGCCAGCAGUUGUGGUAAUACGGAGGGUGCAAGCGUUAAUCGGAAUUACUGGGCGUAAAGUGCGCGUAGGCGGUUUGGUAAGUCAGAUGUGAAAGUUUUGGGUUUAAUUUGGGAAUUGUAUUUGAUACUGCCGGACUAGAGUAUGGUAGAGGGGGGUGGAAUUCCAGGUGUAGUGGUGAAAUGUGUAGAUAUUUGGAGGAACACCAGUGGUGAAGGCGGCCCCCUGGACCAAUACUGACGCUGAGGUGCGAAAGCGUGGGGAGCAAACAGGAUUAGAUAUCCUGGUAGUUACGCUGUAAAUGAUGUCGACUAGCCGUUGGAUCCAUUUAAGGGUUUAGUGGCGCAGUUAAUGUGAUAAGUCGACCGCCUGGGGAGUAUGGCCGUAAGGUUAAAACUCAAAGGAAUUGACGGGGGCCCGCACAAGCGGUGGAGCAUGUGGUUUAAUUUGAUGCAAUGUGAAAAAUUUUAUUAGCCCUUGAUAUCCUUGGAAUCGGGCAGAGAUGUCCGAGUGCCUUCGGGAGCCAAGUGAUAGGUGCUGCAUGGCUGUCGUCAGCUCGUGUUGUGAGAUGUUGGGUUAAGUCCCGUAACGAGCGCAACCCUUGUCCUUAGUUGUCAGUAUGUAAUGGUGGGAAUUUUAAGGAGACUGCCGGUGAUAAACCGGAGGAAGGUGGGGAUGACGUCAAGUCAUUAUGGCCCUUAUGGGCUGGGUUAUACACGUGCUACAAUGGUCGGUAUAGAUGGUUGUUAAUUUGUGAAGGGGGGUUAAUUUGAGAAAACCGGUCGUAGUCCGGAUUGCAGUUUGUAAUUUGAUUGCAUGAAGUCGGAAUCGCUAGUAAUUGUGAAUUAGUAUGUUGUGGUGAAUACGUUCCCGGGCCUUGUAUAUAUUGCCCGUCACACCAUGGGAGUUGGCUGCACCAGAAGUAGAUAGCUUAACCUUUGGGAGGGCGUUUACUAUGGUGUGGUCAAUGACUGGGGUGAAGUCGAAAUAAGGUA